UACGUAGGGGGCUAGCGUUGUCCGGAAUCAUUGGGCGUAAAGAGCGUGUAGGCGGCCCGGUAAGUCCGCUGUGAAAGUCGGGGGCUCAACCCUCGAAUGCCGGUGGAUACUGUCGAGCUCGAGUCCGGAAGAGGCGAGUGGAAUUCCUGGUGUAGCGGUGAAAUGCGCAGAUAUCAGGAGGAACACCAAUGGCGAAGGCAGCUCGCUGGGACGUGACUGACGCUGAGACGCGAAAGCGUGGGGAGCAAACAGG
rnacentral:rRNA from 1 species